UUCUGUGAUUCUGUUCCUGUUCUAGUUGUUUGCUUAGGUUGUUUUGGUUUUAGGUUCAGUUGUUGGUAGUUGUGAGUUUCCUGUCAUUUUACUGUGCAUAGUUUUGAUCUUCUUUUUCUUAGAUGGAAAAAUUAGCCCUUCUUCCUCCCAAGAGGUCAUAAGGAAUUGAAGACAGAUGUCUCUUUGAGGAAACCUAAAGGUCACCUGUGACCUGAGCAGGCUAUGUGACUUAUCAUCAUGAGGUCAACCCUGGGGCUAUCAAUUGCUGAAUGCCAGGGCAAGUGGUUCUUAGACAUUUUGGAUCAAGAAGAGGAAGGCAAGUACAGGGAAUGGUGGAGCAGGAAGAUGAAAAAAGUAUGGAUUCCUCAUGAAUUUGUGUAUUCUUCUACCAAUGGAACUGCCAAAUCUGGAUUUUUUAAAAACAUGAAGUAAACUUCUUUCAUCAUUGUGCUAUUCUUAUUU